GCAAAUGCAGAGGAGCCAUCUGAGGCCCAGGGAAUGAUCUCUCUUCUCAGCCAUGCUGCUGAGAGCAACUUCCACACAGUCCUGGACACACUCACCAUGUUUGCGUCCAGGCUGUGCAAAGGCCAGAAUGGGAGGAUUUCCAGACGCAAGAAGGUGAAGCAUUACGCAUUUCCAUCUUGGCUUUCUGCUGCCUUAUUUUCACAGCA
rnacentral:lncRNA from 1 species